rnacentral:rRNA from 1 species
AUUGAACGCUGGCGGCAGGCCUAACACAUGCAAGUCGAGCGGCAGCGGAAAGUAGCUUGCUACUUUGCCGGCGAGCGGCGGACGGGUGAGUAAUGUCUGGGAAACUGCCUGAUGGAGGGGGAUAACUACUGGAAACGGUAGCUAAUACCGCAUAACGUCGCAAGACCAAAGAGGGGGACCUUCGGGCCUCUUGCCAUCAGAUGUGCCCAGAUGGGAUUAGCUAGUAGGUGGGGUAACGGCUCACCUAGGCGACGAUCCCUAGCUGGUCCGAGAGGAUAAACAGCCAGACUGGAACUGAGGCACGGUCCAGACUCCGACGGGGGGCAGCAGUGGGGAAUAUUGCACAAUGGGCGCAAGCCUGAUGCAGCCAUGCCGCGUGUAUGAAGAAGGCCUUCGGGUUGUAAAGUACUUUCAGCGGGGAGGAAGGUGUUGAGGUUAAUAACCUCAGCAAUUGACGUUACCCGCAGAAGAAGCACCGGCUAACUCCGUGCCAGCCGCCGCGGUAAUAC